rnacentral:rRNA from 1 species
AAUUUUAAAUUUUAAUUUAGUUAAAAAUUAAUUUUAAUUUAUUGAUAUAUAUAAUUAUUAAAUAUUCAUAUAAAUUUAAAUAAUUUUAAUAAAUUUUAAUAUAUAAUAUUAUUAUUUUUUAAAAAAUUAAUUAUAGAUAAAAUUAUAAUAUAAAAUCAUUAUGUGCCAGCAUUUGCGGUUAAACAUAAUAUAUAAAUUAAUUAAUUUAUUUAAGUAUAAUUUUAAUAGUAAAUUAUUUAAAAAUUAAAAUAUUAUUUUUUUUUUAGAUAAAAUAAAAAUUUUAUAAAAAUUUAAUUUAUACUUAAUUUAAUAUAAUUACAAAAAUUUAUUUAUAAACUAGGAUUAGAUACCCUAUUAUUUAAAUUAAUAUUUAUUUAUAAAUUAUUAAUUAAAUUAAUAAAAUUAAAAAUUAUGGCGGUAAUUAAAUUUAUUUAGGGGAAUUUGAAAAAUUAAAUUGAUAGUCCACGAUAAAUUAAACUUAAUUUAAUAUAUUUAUGUAUGUUUGUUAAAAAAAUAUUUUUUAAAAAUUUUCAAUAUUUUAAAUAUUUUAAAAAUAAGAUUUCAGAUCAAUAUGUAAUAAAUUAAGAUUUUUUUAAUUACUUAAAAUUAAAUUUAUUAAAAAUAUAAUUAAAAAUAUUUAAAUUAAAUUUUUAUUAUAAUAGGAUUUAAAAGUAAAGUAAAAAAUUAUUUUAUUUGAAUAAAAUUUUUAAUUAUGUACAAAUUGCCCGUCACUUUUAUUUAUAAAUAAAAUAAGUCGUAACAAAGUAAAUGUAUUGGAAAGUGUAUUUAGAACUU